UGCAAGUUCUAACGGCUUNUAGCAAUACAGUCAGUGGCGCACGGGUUGUAGUAACGCGGUGGAUAUCUUGCCUUUUGGUUCGGAAUAACUCCGGGAAACUGGAGCUAAUACCGGAUGGUUCCUACGGGAUAAAGAUUUAUCGCCAAAAGAUGAGUCCGCGUACGAUUAGCUAGUUGGUGAGGUAAUGGCUCACCAAGGCGACGAUCGUUAGCUGGUCUGAGAGGACGAUCAGCCACACUGGGACUGAGACACGGCCCAGACUCCUACGGGAGGCAGCAGUGGGGAAUAUUGGACAAUGGGGGCAACCCUGAUCCAGCCAUGCCGCGUGAGUGAUGAAGGCCUUCGGGUUGUAAAGCUCUUUUGGCGGGGACGAUGAUGACGGUACCCGCAGAAUAAGCCCCGGCUAACUUCGUGCCAGCAGCCGCGGUAAGACGAAGGGGGCUAGCGUUGUUCGGAAUUACUGGGCGUAAAGCGAGUGUAGGUGGUUGUCAUAAUCAAGUGUGAAAACCUUGAGCUCAACUCCAUGAAAUGCUCUUGAUACUGGGCGACUAUCAGGACCUGAGAGGAUAUAGGAAUUCCCAGUGUAGUUGGUGAGAACACGUAAUAGAUUGU
rnacentral:rRNA from 1 species